ensembl:lncRNA
GAUACAGCAGGCACGCGCACAGAGCCGCGGGGUUUGGAUCCCACAAUGAACCGGGAAUUAAACCGGAAUGAAAUAAACCUGUUCGGGGAAGAAUGAACGCGUUAAAGCUGUAAGAUGGAGGAAGCAGAUCUGGAGUCUUACCUCAGCGCCAAGUUUCAUCUCUCAGCCUGUAUUUUCUGCUGGGCGCUGCUCAAAAUCUGCCAGAGGAGAUUACGCGCGUCUCCGGUCGUCUCGCAGUCAUUCAGGCUUCACAGCGUGUUAGAAGCAGAUCUGAUGGUGAAUGAAAGAAUGAACUCGGUGUGAAAGAGAAACUCGGUGGAAUGUUCUGGACGAGCUUUAACGAGUCGCCGAGGACCGGAGCGUGUUCCUGCAUCGUUACAUACAGCGACCAAUCAGACUCCAGCUGUCGAGGACUUCGCUACACAUGCUGCUCAUCCAGAAGAUGUCGACUCUCUCCAGGAGAAGAGCGCAGAAAGUCGAGAUGUUUGGAGAGAAUCAGCACUGGAAGAAGCUCAGGACAUGACUGAGGAGUAUUUUGAGACGUGCUCGUGGCACGGCGACGCUUCCUCGGAUUAUAUUGGAGAUCACGUGAACUUCUCUUCUCCUAAACGCUCCCCUGGCCUCAGAAAGCAGGACUCAGAAGGUCAGCAUGCGGUAGUUGGUGGUCCACAGCGGAACACGGAUGGAGAGGAACUCACGGUAGCAUUGGGAAGCGAGUGCAGCUUCCCAGACUCGGAUUCAGGAUGUGCAGUUCUCGAGGAAGCUGGACUUCCCUUUCUCUCACAUACCAGCGUGUUGGAUGCACCAAAAGACUCCGAUUCACAACUUUUUACAACUGGUGAGGAACUCCUGGUACAGGUGGAGGACAGCUGCGAUGCAGUGAUUUUGGAGGAUUCAGGGUGUGAUGAAGCUGCAAAUCAGUCACCAUCUGAGGAAGCUGGACUUCCUUCCAUCCUGCAGUCCAGCACAGCAGCAGAAGACUUAACUGGUUCGGAUUUAGUUGUUGCAAGCAGAGAUCUUGUGGAUGUUUCUUCUUCUAAAUGCCUCCGAAAGCUGGACUCUUCUUAUUCAGAAAGAAUGGAUGAUGUUCUCGAGAUAAACACUGGUGAAGAGCAACUCCUGGCACUAUUAUCCAGUGAGUCCAGUGUAAUGAUUUCAGAUCAUUCAGGGCAUCGUUCAUCUCUUGAGAUCGUGUCGGAGGAAGCUGGACUUCCUUCCAUUUCUCAGGCUACGUCUGAAGAAACCCUUACGCUGACUGACAGAAGUGAAGCAGCGCCGCGGUUAGAACAAACUCCUGAUUUAAGCACAGAUCAUAGGAAAUGUUCUUCUCCUAGAAGCUCUCCUGACCUCAGAAAUCUUCAUUCAGGGUGUGAUGAAGUUCUAAAUGGUUCAUCCGUUGAGGAAGCUGGACUUCCUUUCAUCUCUCAGGCUAGUGUCUCUGUCCCAAAUUUGACGGAUUCACAACUUUUCACAAUUCCUCAAGAGAAACCUGAUCUGAUCUACAGAAGUACAUCAGAACCAGAGUUAAACAGCACUUCAGAUUUCACUGUUACAAGCAAUCACAGAGAUCAUGGGAUCUUUCCUUCUCCUAAAAGCUCUCCUGACCUCAGGAAUCUGGACUCUUCUCAUUCAGAAGGGAAGAACAGUGGUCUGGAGAUGAACACGGAUGGAGAGCAACUCCUGGAACCAUUGACAAGGGAGUGCAGGGUGAUCAUUCUCGAUCAUAAUGCUGCUGAUGUUUCAGCUGUUAGGAUUUUCUCCAAGGAAGCUGGGCUACCUUCCAUCUCUGAGGUUUGCGUAUCCGACCCGGAUGUGAUCGAUUCACAACUUUUUCCAACUUCCGUAGAGACACCUGUAGAGCUCACCUGUAGAAGUGAAGAAGCUCGUCAGUUAGAAAACACUUCAAAUUUAGUUGUUGCAAGCAACGAUCAAGUGGAUUGUUCUCCUAAACGUUCUCCUGACCUCAGAGACCUGGAAAACCUGGAGUCAUCUCAUUCAGAAAUAAAGAAUGAUGGUCAGCAGAUGAACGCUGAUGAAGUGCAACACAAAGUACCACUGGAAAAUAGUGCAGUAGUGGUCAGUGCAGUGAUUUUAGAUGAUUCAGAUGAUGAAGCUGCAAACUGGUCAUUUCUUGAGGAAGCUGGACUUCCUUCCAUCUUGCACACCAACACUGCAUCAAAAGACUUGACGGAUUCAGAACUUUUUACAACUGAAGAUACACUUACAUCUACUGACCAAACUGACACAGUGCUCCAGUUAGACAACGCAUCAGAAUCAGACGCCCCAAGCAGAGAUCUUGUAGAAUGUUCUUCUCCUGACCACAAACAUCUGGACUUAGUUCAUUUAGAAAUCAAGAAUGAUGGCGUUCAAUUAAAAACAGUCACAGAAGAACUUGUAGUACCUUUGACAGGAAACUACAGUGCAGUGAUUUUAGAUUCUUUAUCCUGUGACGAAAUUGUGGAUCCAUCAUCGUUUGAGACCUUGUCCAAGGAAGCUGGACUUCCCUUCAUCUCCCAGGCCAGCACGUCUGACACAGCUUUGAUUACUGACCAAACUGAAGCUGUGGCCCAGUUAGACAGACCUAGUUCCGAUCUAGACUUUGCACGUGAAGAUCAAUUUGAUUUCCCUUCUCCUAAAAGCUCUCCUGACCUCAGGGAUCUGGACUCUUCUCCUUCAGAAAGGAAGAACAGUGGUCUGGAGAUGAACACGGAUGGAGAGCAACUCAUGGUACCACUGGCUAAUGACUGCAGUGUAGUAACUGCAGAUGAUCUGGAGAAUGCAGAAAUUGUUAAUCGGUUAUCUUCUGAGGAAGCUGGACUUCCUUCCAUCUGUCAAGCUAGCGUGUCUGACACAGACUCAAUCGAUUCACAAAGUUUUACAGCUUCUACGUGCACACUAACCCUCACUGACCGAAGUGAAGCAGAACCCCAAUUAGAAACCUCUUCUGAUUUAGACCAUGUGGACUUUUCUUCUUCUGAACACUUUACUGACCUCAGAAACCUGGACUCUGCUCAUUCAGAAAGAAAGAAUGAUGGCCUGGAGGUGAAUGCGGAGGGAGAGGAACUCUCAGUACCUCUGGUAGGUGGCUGCAAUGCAUUUAAUUUAGAUGUCUCAAGGUGUGAUGAAGUUUUAAAAGGUUCAUCUCUUGAGGAAGCUGGAUUUUCAUCUGUCUCACAAGCUAGUGUAUCUCAUACAACAUCAAAAAACCUGACUUCUGAGGAGAUCCCUACAAUGAGAGACAAAAUUAAGGCCGAAUCCCAGUUAGACAGCACUUUUCAUUUAGAUGGUUCGAGAACAGAUCAUGGGAGCAUACCUUCUCCUACAAGCUCUCCUGAAAUCAGAAAUCUGGACUCGUCUUAUUCUGAAAGAAAGGGAACUGAUAAAGAGGAACUCGUGGUACCAUUAGCAAGUGAAUGCAAUGGAGAAGAUGAUGUUGAGAAUGCAGAAAUUGAUCAUUGUUUAUCUCCUGAGGAAACUGGACUUCCUUCACAGAAUGAAGGUCUGGAGAAGAACAAGGAUGGAGAGGAACUCAUUGUACUCUUGGACCCCAAUGCAGUGAUUUUAGGUGAUCCAGGGCAGGAUGAAGUUCUAAAUGGUCCAUCUCCUGAGGUAGCUGAACUUCUUUCCAUCUCUCAGGAUGGCACGUACAACACAGAUUCGAUCAGUUCACACCUUUUUACAUCUUGUAAACACACCCUUGCACCACCAGAUGGAAGUGAAGCAGAGCCUUCUUUAGAGAACGCAUCUGAUUUAACUGGUGCAAGUAGAAAUGAAGAAGAAUCAGAUAAUGUAAAUAAAAUGGAGAAUCUCACUGUUCCUGAAUUAUCACAGAUAAUUUUAAGCACAAAUAUGGUAGAACAUCUGGGACAGAUUGAUGAAGCUAGGGUCAAACCUUCAGAGGUAAAUAGUAACAUAUUUGUGGAUCUAUCAGUAGAUGCGAAGAUGUUCGUAGAUCCAUUAAUGGGUGGAUGUCCUUGUGUUCAGUCUUCUGUCAGCUCUAGUCUUCAGUCUGAAGGUGUAACAUCACUCCAAAAGGAUCAGAGACACUUUUCCAAUCCAAACAUCAACAAGGAGAACUUAUUCGAAAGUUCUCCGUCUAUUAAAGACAGUGAUGAUUAUUCAGCAGAGGAAGAUUCCUCGAGUCCGUCGUGUGCUAACGGUUUUAUUCCAGAGCUUCACGUUCCAAUGAAUGAUGAACAAACUUUGGAUUUGGACAAUGAUCAAACUGAAAGGCGGUCUAAAAAUGUAGAUGAUUUGAUAAAUGUGCCGUUUCUGAACACUUUCAGUGUGAAGGAAUUCACGGUCAUACCCCAGAAAGAGCAGGAGGUCAUUUAUUCAGAUAACUCGGGUUAUAUCGACUCUUAUGUGAUGCCAUCUUCAGCUGGUAAAGAAUCACAACGUGUUCCCUUCGAUUGUGUUCGAGGAGAUGUUGUAGACAGCUAUGUAGGACAACUACCAGGUCCAGUUGAGGUUUUAUUCAAGGAAUCGACUCCUUUAGGUUCUCUUAACAUCACCAAAUUCACUAAACAGGUCCUGCAAGGAGACCAGGCUACGUCUGAGAAGGUCUGUGCGAAGGAGCAUGAAGCUAGUAUUUCAUAUGAUGAUUAUUGUAUGCAGGAAACAUCUGGCUUAAAAGCCUCACUGCAUUUUGAUGGUUCACAUCAUGGUUCAGACACAAACAAUAACACGAAGCAGCACACACCUGAGACACCUUGCACUUUACAUGCUCCUACACUAGAACAGGAACUCUGGAAUCAUGUGCAUCCAUCCAUGCAAGAUGGUCCCUCGAACGUCUUCUCAAAUUUAUCAAACAAUUCUGCCGGCUUCUUUGAGAUCUCUGAACGAGUCAUGAUGGAUUACAAAAGGGAUCAUUCAAAUCCACUUGAUGUAGAAGAUGCUUCUCAGGGGAAGAUGUAUGGUAAAGAGUGCCAGUUGGGGGAACACCAGGACAUCAUGGCAGAUCCUACUGUCCGUCCAGUCGCGGAUGCUCACCGUGGACUGAUUCAUUCCAGUUGUCAGAGCUCUGAGUUUUCAUACGCUCUUUCUAUAAAUGGACCUACAUGUCAGAAGAUCCUCCGAGAGCAAAGCCUAAUGCCUCACUCUGCCUCAAUCAGUGUUACCAGUGGAUCAGGAACUUAUGAAUCCGAAGCAGCACCUUUUUGUCCAGAUUCACUUCAGAUCCAGAGUUACCCUUCUAUAGAUGUUAGCACUGGCCUAGUAUCAGAUUUGGAGCCCAUUAUGGAGUCGGAGCACCCUCAGGAGAUCUCAGAGAGUUUGAAUGGAGAACUGAAGGAUCUUGUAUCAUCUGCGAAUGAGGACGAAUGCACCCCUUUACAAAGGGAUGAAAAUGAUGCGCUAUACAAUGUCGGGUCUAUGAGAGGAUUUUCUGAUAAACCAGAAGAUGUAGACACCACCUCUUGUCUGACAAACGAGUGUGAUGCUAAUGAUGAUGAUGAUGAUGAUGAUAUUCCCAAUUCCGCAUCUCCAGAUCAAGACUUUAUUACAACAAACAGUGAAGAAGUUGAAGAUCCCAGUCACGGCACAACAGGAAGCAACUCGAACUCCACUGGCAGCAGCCAGAGCUUAUUAAAGAACAAGGAGACCAAGAGCAUGUCUGCAGGGAAAAGCUCAAAGUUCUCCAGGUUCACAAGAAUCCCCUCCUUCCGCAAAAGCAAGAGAGAGAUCAAGGUUGGAAGCAAGGUUGAACCUGAGAGCAAAAUAUCUCCUGAGGUUGGAGAGGAGAGAAAUCAGACACCUAGUCAUAAUCCUACUGUAGAUCACUCGACAAAAUACGAGGAUCAAUCUAGUGAUGUGGUCUUGGGGAAAGCCCUUGGUGUAACCUGGAAUGAACAAUCCAAAUCCACGUCCAGCUCCAAGAAUACACAACAACAUGACAGUUACAGUGAGCGAGGGCAAACGAAACCUGUUCUUGAUCCCCAGAAGAAAAGCAAGAGCAGUGAUAACUUCCGCAUGAAGCUCGCACUGGCUCAGAAGUCUCUGUCGAGCUUGUUCGAGAUCCGAACUGCUGAAAAAGACCACCAACAGGAUCCCAGCGUUCUGAACCAGGAUACAAAAUCCAAGCAACCUUGGGUGAAGAGAAAAAUGUCUAAGGAUUCUGAGAUGCUAAAGAGAACUCUCUCUCUUCCUGGACCAAGUGGUGCCAAGUCUAGAUGUCGCCACCUGAGUGACUUAGUGUCUGGGUUAACCGAGGAUCGUCCGGAUCUUCAGGGAUUCCAGAGCUCCAAGGGGGAUUUUAAAAGCACAUCACACUCUGAAGCAUCAGUGUCUGGACCUAAGGCGGAGCCUGUUGAGAGGAAUACACUAUCUAAUGGCUUAGCUAAAAACUUUGAGGCUGUCCACAGUCAUGAGAACAUCUCGGAGAAACCCAUGCACCCUAGUGUUUUUGCUCUAACAAAUCAGCUAUCUCCAUCCUGGACAAGAUCCCUGGGUUCCUUUGAAGGACUUGAUACACCAACUAAGCCAAUGACUCCCAAACCACAAAAUCCUGGGGUUUGGGGCCAGAGGAGCAGCCUCCGCAACCCCUCAAAAUCCGUUGCCACCUCCCUGUGUUCUCUUGGUGAGGGUCCGAGUUUGGAGGGACUGUCAGAUCGUUCAGAAAGGCGAGUUGGGCAAAGAGCAACACGACUUGCGUCGGCUCAGUCCUUUGAGUCGGAGUACUUACUCGAAGACAUCAACUCGGACAACCGAUCUCAAACCAGCCUGGUGUCCACCAACUCCGCCACGCAGUCUGAGGAUGGUGGUACAUCAUCUCUCCAGUCAUCUUCGUCCGUGCUCCGUGUCAGAAGACGCGAUCGGCGUGUGGUCCGACCCAGACCGGUCUCUGACCUCUGCAGCUGGACUUUACCUCUGCGGGAAAUCGGAGAGACGGCGGCCGGUGCGAUUCAGGAGAGGAACGUCACAGAUAAUUGGACGGCUAAGGCGCAGAAGAGAUCGUGCUCAGAUGAGCUGCUCGGGGAGUUCCAGGAAGUGCAGAAGACGAAGGUGAUGCUGCAGAGGAGCCUCGGGACGCUGAGCACCACAUCUGAAGAGCAGCAGAAAGUACAGAUGAGACUGUCCUUCACUUCUCCACAGCAAUUGUCCUCCACCUCUCUUAAAGACCACUUCUUCUCUCAGAGCACUCCGAUUGGACUGGACUGUCUCCACUGGCCACGCCCAGUUUCAUUCUCAGAGUCGUGUCUCGUCCGACCUUCAGAGCACACACUCGCGCAGCCGGCCGCUCUCGGUGAGUAAACGUUCUUUAAAUUGUGCGAUGGUACAGAGUUUAUCCAGCAGCUGCUGUUGGGGAAAUCACAGAGAGAGAAAACAGGAAAAGCGCUGUGACAUCAUCAUCACGCGACGAGUUUCUUUCUACGCUCACGUGAACUCUCAGACGUCCCUUGUCUCACGUCUCAGCAGUGUCAUAAUAUCAUGUUUUACUUUUUUAUUCUUCUCUUCUUUCAUGUUUUUGCUCAGUUUUGGUCAGUCACCUGUUUUUAAACUAAUUUAUAAAUGAUUUUUAGUGUUUUUUUCUGAUGCUCUUGCCUCAGGUUCUCAAAUAAACUCGAAAAAUAAUCAUUAUUAAAUUAACAGAGGAUUUUUAGGCCUUUUAAAGCUCCGCUCAGAGAAACUAAUUUUAACAUUUAAAAAAAUGACUGCUGUUUAGUAAUCUAAACAAAAAAAU